rnacentral:rRNA from 1 species
UACAGAGGUCUCAAGCGUUGUUCGGAUUCAUUGGGCGUAAAGGGUGCGUAGGUGGCGCCGUAAGUCGGGUGUGAAAUUUCGGAGCUUAACUCCGAAACUGCAUUCGAUACUGCGGUGCUUGAGGACUGGAGAGGAGACUGGAAUUCAUGGUGUAGCAGUGAAAUGCGUAGAGAUUAUGAGGAAGACCAGUGGCGAAGGCGGGUCUCUGGACAGUUCCUGGCACUGAGGCACGAAGGCCAGGGGAGCAAACGGG